GUGUCAAAACCAGUGUGCGGGACUAUGAACUUACUCGUGGGCGUGUCUGUGUCCAAACCUGUGUCGCGGGGUCAUGACCUAACUCGUGGGCGUGUCUGUGUCCAAACCUGUGUUGCGGGGCCAUGACCUUACUCGUGGGCUUGUCUGUGUACAAGCCUGUAUCGCGGGGUCAUGACCUUACUCGUGGGCGUUGUUGUGUCCAAACCUUAUCGCGGGGUCAUGACCUUACUCGUGGGUGUGUCUGUGUCCAAACCUGUAUCUCGGGGUCAUGACCUUACUCGUGGGCGUGUCUGUGUCCAAACCUGUGUCGCGGGCUCAUGGCCUUACUCGUAGGCGUGCCUGUGUCUGAAUCUGUGUCGCGGGGUCAUACGUUUUUGUGAUACAUCAGAUCAAUACUAUACGGCAAACCCUUCUAACAAUACAGCGUUUCUGUGACAUAGUAUAUAGAAGUAAAAAAAUUAUAUAAAGCUUUUAAUCGAAAAAAACGAAAUCGGGAAUUAGGGUAAAAAUGAUUUGCCCCUGCAUUACUGAGCAUAAACAAUAUUUCGACACAGCCUAUAUCGCAAUUAACGUAUUAUUAGGCUUAAAAUCAUAUCAGUAUACCAAAAUGCGUACAAUGACAGUUUGUAUUAAUCUAGUAAAUAUCACAGUUGCGUCGUUAAGGCUAACGUUCAACAAUGUCCAAACAAUGUUCAACAAUCGCGUGUUUACAUUUAACAGAAAUAUUUCGCGGUGAACUCCCUUCCCUCGCCCAGGUCCGUAAAAUUCUCGCUCCAUAUGUAUGUGAAGAGUAUUGCCAAAAUACAAAAUAUACAUAACAUAAUAUUAAUGAAGUAUGAUGUGAUUUAGAUGUACACUACAGACAACAUAUACUGUAACCCAAAAUAGAAUAACUAUAAAUCAUUUUGUGAAGCUUUGAAUAUUUUGACGUACUAUGCAUGCUUUACAUAAACAUCAGUUAAGGUCCGGUUACACCGCCAGAACUUUGCUGGAGCGUUUCUUGAACGGUAUGAAGAGGGGCCGAAUUAAAAAAAAAAUCGAAAACACGGGCGUUGUCAAAGCGGUGAACCGCUGAAGCCAGCGUUGGUUUAGCGUUGGUAAAACGGUAGCGAGCGGUGACGCGAGCGUUGGUUUAGUGGUGACGCGAGCGUUGAUAGAGAGGCGUUCUGCGCAUGCGCACGUUGGCUCGGCGGGAGUUUAAAGUUGGUAUUGCAGCAAACCGCUUUUGACUUCAGAACUGCACGGAUCGCUUUGAUCGACGUUCUGAUAAUUUUUGAUAGAAGUCGAUAGUUGAAGUUCAUCUUGCCACGUAGACUAAAGAAGUGGAAUGCUGGAGAUGGAGAGGCAGCAGCCUCCAAGAAGACCAUUACUGAGCAGGCAGUUGAACCAAUGGAGUCAGGUAAAUAUAGGUAUAACAUUUUUAAUUUAUAAUUCAUUUGUUAUAUUUUGCAGAGACCAGUAAUGCCACACCAGAAUCCACUGCUAGCACAACCACUGAUAACACAGCCACUGCUGCAACAGCCCAGACAGGGACAGCUAUUGAUAUAGACUCUGAUGACGAGCCCGAGAUGGCCAUGACACAGGACCAGUCUGACAAUGAGGAAAUACCACCUGGAGAUGACCAAUCUGAGGAGGGCCGUGCUACUGCUGGUGCUGAAGAAUCUGAACGAGACGAUGAACAGCGUCAGACGCAGAAGAAGUCUCGUCGCAAGGCCCUCUUGCUCGACAAUGACACUCGGGAGCAACUCAUCGAGUGAGUCCGGGAGCACGAACGUUUGUGGAGGAAGGGGGCCACAAACUACAAGGAUACACAGAAGAAGACGGAACUUUGGACCAGGAAGGCAAGAGAGCUGAACAUUGCGGAGGGAGCUGAAGUUCUCAGGACAUGGUAAAAGUCAGUCCGGGACCUUUACGCUAAGCUUAUCUGCAAGAAGUCAGGCCAGGCUGCAGCGAACUUGACGGACAGAGAACUGUUCAUCCAGAGAAACUGCGCCUUCCUGCACACGGAGGUCAAGCCCAGGAAAGGCCAGCCUCUUAGAAACAUACCCCUCACACAGGAAACUUUAGCAAACCAGCAUCCAAAAGUCCAGCCCUCGGCGUCGACCAGCAUCUCUCAUAAGUCUUCCCACGACGUCGAGGAACAGGAAGAAGACGAGGGUUCCCUCUCGCUCAUUGAAACUCAAGCGGCACUCACGACGUCCCAGGGCAUCCCACCUCCACUAGCUCUCUCCUCCGCCACCACCAGACCACGCCGUGCCGCCACCAGAGCCGAGCCUGAAGACGCCCCUGCGAUGCUGGUGAUGAGAGAUAGUAUGAAGGCUACCAACGCCCUCCUGGAGAGACUGGUCAAAGCCCAGGAGAUCAGCCAUGCAUGACAGCCCUUCAUCACGUAUAUGUUCCAGUCUCUCCAACAAAUACCUGAGACCCAGUACCAGCUCACAGUAGAGAGAUUGACGGCCAUCCUCCACCAGAUGCAGCGACCCAUCCCCCAUCCCCUCCCUCCAGUUCAACCACCACCAGCAUCAGUACCUUCACCCACACUCACCUUUUACCAGCAGCGGCCGCAUUGCUACCAGCCCCAGACUCAGCAAUACUGCUUCCAGCAGCAGCCUCAGCCUGAGCACCAGCCUCAGCACUUCCAGCAAUUGCAGACACCCAGAGGCAGCCAGCCAUCCUCCACCCCAAGGAGCUCCAGCGCAGGACUCAUGUUGUCAGACAUGCCGAAAAUUUACUCCUUUAACCAAGCCAACAUAAGCGCCGUCAGCGAGGGGUGGAUUCUCCAGGAUCUUCAACGGCAGGAUAUAAAUUCUCCAUCCAUACCAAUCCCCGCCACAGCCUAAGGGACUGAUGUUUUACUGGCAGAGAUAAGGGCCACCGUUGAGGAGAAUUGAGACUGCUUGUGAUGUGUUGAAGGGACUGCUCAGUUAUUUCAUGUGAUUUUUGUUUAAGGAAUGAGCUGGCAAGCUGUUUUGAUGUUUAUUGUUUUUAUGUGCACUUGUGUGUUUGCGUGGUCUCAUAAGUUUUGAGCUUUAAUAAACAGCAUUUAUAUUAAAA